rnacentral:rRNA from 1 species
AGUGAACGCUGGCGGCGUGCCUAAUACAUGCAAGUCGAACGGAGUGGCGCACGGGUGAGUAAUGUAUAGCUAAUCUGCCCUCCACUAGAGGACAACAGUUGGAAACGGCUGCUAAUACUCUAUAGUGUAGGAUGGGGCUAUCUUUUAUCAGCUAGUUAGUGGGGGAAUGGUUCACCAAGGCUAUGGCGCAUAACUGGUCUGAGAGGAUGAUCAGUCACACUGGAACUGCGACACGGUCCAGACUCCUACGGGAGGCAGCAGUAGGGAAGAUUGCUCAAUGGGGGAAACCCUGAAGCAUCAACGCCGCGUGGAGGAUGACACUUUUCGGAGCGUAAACUCCUUUUGUUAGGGAAGCGGUACCUAACGAAUAAGCACCGGCUAACUCCGUGCCAGCAGCCGCGGUAAUUC